rnacentral:tRNA from 1 species
GGAGAUACAGUUCAAUGGCACAACACUUGCCUUAGCAUGUGUGAGGCCCUGGGUUCAAUUCCCAGUACCACCA